rnacentral:rRNA from 1 species
AGAGUUUGAUCCUGGCUCAGGAUGAACGCUGGCGGCGUGCCUAACACAUGCAAGUCGAACGGAGUGUUGAGAGCUUGCUUUUAACACUUAGUGGCGGACGGGUGAGUAAUGUAUGAGCAACCUGCCUUUCAGAGGGGGACAACAGUUGGAAACGACUGCUAAUACCGCAUAAUGUAUACCGGAGGCAUCUCUGAUAUACCAAAGGAGCAAUCCGCUGAAAGAUGGGCUCAUAUCUGAUUAGUUAGUUGGUGAGGUAACGGCCCACCAAGGCGACGAUGCGUAGGGGUUCUGAGAGGAAGGUCCCCCACACUGGUACUGAGACACGGACCAGACUCCUACGGGAGGCAGCAGUGAGGAAUAUUGGUCAAUGGGCGCAGGCCUGAACCAGCCAAGUCGCGUGAGGGAAGACGGUCCUACGGAUUGUAAACCUCUUUUGUCGGGGAGUAACGUGCGGGACGCGUCCCGUAUUGAGAGUACCCGAAGAAAAAGCAUCGGCUAACUCCGUGCCAGCAGCCGCGGUAAUACGGAGGAUGCGAGCGUUAUCCGGAUUUAUUGGGUUUAAAGGGUGCGCAGGCGGCGCGCCAAGUCAGCGGUCAAAGUUCCGGGCUCAACCCGGUGUCGCCGUUGAAACUGGCGUGCUCGAGUGCGUGCGAGGAAGGCGGAAUGCGUUGUGUAGCGGUGAAAUGCAUAGAUAUGACGCAGAACUCCGAUUGCGAAGGCAGCUUUCCAGCGCGCUACUGACGCUGAGGCACGAAAGCGUGGGGAUCGAACAGGAUUAGAUACCCUGGUAGUCCACGCAGUAAACGAUGACUACUAGCUUUCCGGGGCGACUGGGUCCUGGGAGGCACAGCGAAAGCGUUAAGUAGUCCACCUGGGGAGUACGCCGGCAACGGUGAAACUCAAAGGAAUUGACGGGGGCCCGCACAAGCGGAGGAACAUGUGGUUUAAUUCGAUGAUACGCGAGGAACCUUACCCGGGCUCAAACGACAGCGGACAGCUCCUGAAAGGGAGUCUCCGGCAACGGCCGCUGUCGAGGUGCUGCAUGGUUGUCGUCAGCUCGUGCCGUGAGGUGUCGGCUUAAGUGCCAUAACGAGCGCAACCCCCAUCUCCAGUUGCCACCGGGUCGUGCCGGGCACUCUGGAGGGACUGCCAGCGCAAGCUGCGAGGAAGGCGGGGAUGACGUCAAAUCAGCACGGCCCUUACGUCCGGGGCGACACACGUGUUACAAUGGCGGAGAACAGAGGGGAGCCACGUGGCGACACGGAGCCGAUCCCGAAAAUCCGUCUCAGUUCGGAUUGGAGUCUGCAACCCGACUCCAUGAAGCUGGAUUCGCUAGUAAUCGCGCAUCAGCCAUGGCGCGGUGAAUAAGUUCCCGGGCCUUGCACUCACCGCCCGUCAAG